rnacentral:rRNA from 1 species
CGUGAAAUUGUUGAAAGGGAAGCGUUUAUGACCAGACUUGGGCUUGGUUAAUCAUCUGGGGUUCUCCCCAGUGCACUUUUCCAGUCCAGGCCAGCAUCAGUUUUCCCCGGGGGAUAAAGGCGGCGGGAAUGUGGCUCUCUUCGGGGAGUGUUAUAGCCCACCGUGUAAUACCCUGGGGGGGACUGAGGUUCGCGCAUCUGCAAGGAUGCUGGCGUAAUGGUCAUCAACGACCCGUCUUGAAACACGG